AUUAAAUGAAUGGUACAAGUCGAAUCUUGUGGAAUAUAAAUUGUGGGCUACGCAAUUUAAAUUAAAAAUACAAAGGGUCUUGAGCCCAAUUUAAUUUAAUUAAAUCCCUUCUUGUGAGCCCAAGUACUAAAUCCUGUUUCUUAAACCCAAAAGAUCCCUUUCAAUAUAGCGCCUGAAUCAAGUCUUCCUCUCUUCAUGCGUUUUUCCCCUAACUCUCUCCCUUGUCUGCAAAUUUUCUUCCAAAAUUAAAUUAGUCAAUCAGCCUUUACUCUCCCUUUCAAAAUUUCACCAUGCUCUCUCAUUAGAACAAGGCUGUUUUUUUCUCCUACUUUCAAUUCCAACCAAGUACAAGAAAUUAAAAAGAAAUAGGGAGAGGAAGUUUCCCAUGUUCGUCCUAGCACGGUUGAGGUUAAGUUUUGAAGCAAAUCUUUUCCAGAUUUAGUCCACUGCGUGCUCCAUAUUCCAGCGUUUAGCCGAGUGCUUACUGCUAAUCGACGAUCAAUCUUUGUUGAAGCAAUUUUUUGAAUCCAAAUAUUACGAAUACGGUUCAUCCCCGGUAUUUCAAGUAUCAAUGGAAGAAGGACGCGUUGUGCCUGCAUGUUCUGAGCAGAUAAAGCCUGUAGUUGGUCAGAGGUUCGAAUCAUUAGAGUUUGCUCUCGCGUUUUAUGAUGUGUAUGCUAGGGCCGUUGGGUUUGACACGCGCAAACAAGGUGUGAGGAAGGUGGACGAAGUUACAACGUGGUAUUACGUCGUAUACAAUAGGGAGGGCCAUAAGAAGUCCAUCGACGAUAUACAUAAUAUACAUUUUAGUGUAGUAUAAUGCGUAUGCAAUAGGGAGGGCCAUAAGAAGUCCAUCGACCAUAAGAAGUCCCUAAGGGUUUAACAAGCCCAGGGGCUAGGGUGUAGUAUGUUUUAAG